GGGCAUAUGGUCUAAUGGUAUGACAUUCCCAACGUACUGCUUGAGUAAGUGUACCUCGCUGCUUACUUAGUGCACCUCGCUGCCUAAGCUUUCGUAUGGUUCGUGUUUCUCACGCCAUUUGAAGAAAGUACUUGGGAGGGAUUCAAGGUUCAAUUCCUUGUGUGUCCA